CCCAGUGGAUGUUCUUAUAUACAGUUGGAACGACUGAUGAUUGAUCCAAGGGGUAUCCCACUGUGCACAUAUUUGGAUAAAAGGAGGCUGCCACCAUGCCCAUCUAUCAUUGCUGUGUCUGUUCUAGCAGGAGCUGUUUUUUCCAGACAUACAAAUUGAGAUCCUGAUGCUAGAGAUUGUACUUAUGACCUCCCAGAUGCAGACAUCGAAGCUGAACUUCAAGAAUAUGGUCAAGGUGGGGAAACCUUGCACGGACACUGAAUGAGGCAAUUAAACAUUUUCUUGCUCCAAAACAAAUGAGGUUUAAGUUCAGAAGAACAGACCCUUCUAUGAAAUGAAACCAAAGCAGGAAGUUCAGCAAAUGUGUUCUCUACCUGCAAAGAAAAUUAUUCAGCUCUCAGUCCAGUACUGUCAUGUACAAUUAUGGUAAGAACACACCCUGAAUAAACUAGAAAACAUUUCUAAUAUGGCAUCAACCUGGGACAGGUAAGCUGUUGUUGCUCAUCUUGUUUUAACUAGGCUGGAAAAAUUGGCAAGAAAUCAUUUAAUCAUCUGAGCCAAUGUGAAAUUCAGAAAAUGAGUAGCCGUUUCCACCAGUCCUGCAAACCCCUUCAAAUGCAACUGGAGGGAUACUUGGGUUGCACCAGGGGGGCUUCAAAGAGUGGCAACCACUGCCACCAGACCAGUAAGAACCUUAAUCUGUUUGUAAAGGUGCCCUCUUGCUGCCCCUCGGCUUCACUUUAGAAGACAUUUCAAGGA